UACGGAGGGUGCAAACGUUGCUCGGAAUCAUUGGGCGUAAAGCGCACGUAGGCGGUUUGUUAAGUCGGGUGUGAAAGCCCUGGGCUCAACCCAGGAAGUGCACUCGAAACUGGCAGGCUUGAAUAUGGAAGAGGGUCGCGGAAUUCCCGGUGUAGAGGUGAAAUUCGUAGAUAUCGGGAGGAACACCAGUGGCGAAGGCGGCGACCUGGGCCAAUAUUGACGCUGAGGUGCGAAAGCCAGGGGAGCAAACGGG
rnacentral:rRNA from 1 species